GCAAGUCGAGCGCACCCUUCGGGGCGAGCGGCGGACGGGUUAGUAACGCGUGGGAACGUGCCCUUCUCUAAGGAAUAGCCUCGGGAAACUGAGAGUAAUACCUUAUACGCCCUUCGGGGGAAAGAUUGAUCGGAGAAGGAGCGGCCUGCGUUAGAUUAGAUAGUUGGUGGGGUAAUGGCCUACCAAGUCUACGAUCUAUAGCUGGUUUUAGAGGAUGAUC
rnacentral:rRNA from 1 species